ensembl:ncRNA F45E1.9 ncRNA
CAAGCCAGAGCGGCAGCGGUGGGAAGGACGAGCAUCUUGCGAGACUGUAAACACGAUUUGUUUGCAGGACAUGGAAGACGACAUACAGUUUUAAAAACAAUGGGACAGCCAGAAACACGUCGG